CCCCUUAUGUCCUGGGCUUCCCCCGUUCUCUCAAUGGGAUGCACAGAGAGCAACGAACCCGCGAGGGCAAGCGAACCCCAUAAAACAUCUCUCAGUUCGGAUUGCAGGCUGCAACCCGCCCGCAUGAAGUCGGAAUCGCUAGUAAUCGCAGGUCAGCAUACUGCGGUGAAUACGUUCCCGGGCCUUGUACACACCGCCCGUCACACCACGGAAGUCAUUAACACCCGAAGCCGGUGAGUUAACCGCAAGGAAACAGCCGUCUAAGGUUUUGGCGAUGAGA
rnacentral:rRNA from 1 species